CAAUCUGCGAUAAAAAUAAAACCGCUUGGAUACCCGUGUAUGCGACCAAUGGAAUCUCUCUGAAACAUUGUAGCGAUCCCAGCCAUACCUUUCGGAGGCCUCUACGGAGUUCUGGUGACCUUGACCCUGUUAUUCAAAGGUUCAAGGUCAGAUAAUCCGUGUGUGGACCUGGACCCCAAUGGAUGCAAAGCCAACCCCCAUCUAUGUCAAGAUCCUCUUCUCGCUGAAGUCACAUGUCCUGUCACGUGCCGUACCGGAUGCAGCAUCAAUCCUACCUCUGCAUCUAUCUCCACCACCACCACUCCAACCCCCAUACACCCAACAUCCGAAGUGGUAGGUGGUCACUUGACGGGCCAAAUUCCAGUGGGUUCCAACCUCAUCAUAUUCAACGACUCCGACGCCUGGAACCACGGGCGAAUCACCGGCAUACGGAUGCUGUGCGGACAAUAUUUGCUCGCCAUGGCGAUCCAGUACAAUGGGGUGUGGGCACAAAGGCAUGGAUUCUGGGCCGGCAACUGUGCGACCAACCAAACAUGGACGCCUAUUCACUUUUUUGAAGAGGACGAGUGGAUACAGCACGCAGAGUUGACGGGCUCGUGGUUCACAUCCAGCGUCACAUUCACCACCAACAAGCGGCGGCUGGAGACAUGCGGGAUACCCGAGGCAGUCAAGUUCCGCGAGGGUGGCAGACUGGAGUUUGUGUCUGGGAAAUUCGGAUGCUUCUUCGACCGCCUCCAGCUUCACUGGUCCUCUUAUGUUUCUUUAUAAACCAGUAAAUUUGUCCCGUGAUUAUGUAACUACCAAAGUAUACAAGUAAACACGUGAUACAUU